UUAACCACGUUUAACACAAUCUAUAUAUAGCUUUACAUAGCCAUUCCGUAACAAGUACCAACAGCUGAAAUACAAAUAAUAUCGCAUUUAAUGCCUCAAUCUUGCUAAGUGUUUUCACAUGUCAUUUCAUUCUGACACAUAAACUCUGCUGAAUUUUGACAGCCAUCUCCAGGCUUGUAACUAAAAUGAGGGUCCUGAAGGGGGGGUUGUAUUCCCAUUAACUAGCCCAAAUUUUGACUAAAUCCCCAUGGGCGUACCGGGCGGGGCGCAGCCCCCCCCCAGUUUGUUGGACAAACAAAGCCAGUCCAGCAAUAUUCACUUCACAGUCGGGCAACAAUGUGGGCACAAUCCGAAAAAGUGGGGCAAAUUCCCCCCCCCCCCUAAUUUUUUCCUUCCCGUACGCCCAUGUAAAUCCCAUUGUCCCAGAGCACAAAUCCUAUCAUCUCAGUGGCUGUCCUGCUAAAAUAUUCCCAUUCCCAUUUUCUAUUGUGUUUUCGCUGAUGAAUCCCAGUCCCAGUGCAUGAAAUCCCAUUUUCCCACCCAAAAAUAAGCAAAUCCCAGUUCCCAUUUUACCCCUUCAGGACCCUCUAAAAUGUCACUUACAGUAUUCAUUAACAUACGUUUAUAUCAAACGAGAGCGUAUUAAGAAAUCCACGUUGAUCACAAUCGAUCUAACGAUUCAUACAAUUGUGAAUUCAUAAAUAUGAGCCAGUAAAAAU